rnacentral:rRNA from 1 species
GCUUACGGUCACACUACCCUGAGAACGCCCGAUCUCGUCUGAUCUCGGAAGCUAAGCAGGGUUUGGCCUGGUUAGUACUUGGAUGGGAGACCACCUGGGGAAGCUAAGCAGGGUUUGGCCUGGUUAGUACUUGGAUGGGAGACCACCUGGGAAUACCAGGUGCUGUAAGCU